UAAACACAUUCCUGAAGCCCAAACUCAGCUGUGUUUCUGUAGGCAUGUCUCAGGGCAUGUCUCUGCUGUUAAAUUUUAAUGAAAAUAAGAUUGAAAUUUUAGGGAUUAAUGACCACUUGGCAAAAAUUCAGCUGAUAUCUACUUGAGCUGCACCACUUCUUCCAACCUCCCUUCUCCAAUGAAUAACUGAAAAGGACCGAGGAACAGAGAGCUGUUUCUAGGAUACAAUGUGCAGCACUUCCUACUCUUGGCUCACUCUAACUUCAGCCUCUCAGCUCUGUCAUUUUUUUCUGUCUAUGAAUUUAAAAUAGCUUUUGCCACCAGAUAGUGAAGGGGAAGCAAUAGCAUUUGUCCCAGCUGUGAGUGGGAUCACCUUGCUACCGUGGUAAAAUCGAAGGGGCUGAUCUCCACAUGGAUUUUACAUUAAGGCAUGAGGAGACCUUUCACCCUUCCUGCUGCAGGACUGUGCUGCAAGAAUGUCAGCCCCAGCAUCAGGCUGGACAUCUCUGGUGCGACUGCCACUAUCCAGCUUAAAUUCUCCUCAGUGUUGUGUAGUGGGAGAGAUCACAAAAGAAAAGAGCUUGUUCUGAGCACCGUGGGAAAACAACUCGAGUGCUGUUUGGUUUAAGGGAUGUAGUCAUGCAAAACCUUUGCUGUACCUUCUGGAGGAAGCUGGAGUGUUUCAAGAAAUAAUGAAGGUGUGAAUCAUCACAAUUCUGAGUUGUCUGAUAAGGAAAUCUUUUAA